GGUAUGUUCUAUACACACAUAUAUACACACACACUGAGGGAGUCAGUACCUGAGGUAUGUUCUAUACACACAUAUAUACACACACACUGAGGGAGUCAGUACCUGAGGUAUGUUCUAUACACACAUAUAUACACACACACUGAGGGAGUCAGUACCUGAGGUAUGUUCUAUACACACAUAUAUACACACACACUGAGGGAGUCAGUACCUGAGGUAUGUUCUAUACACACAUAUAUACACACACACUGAGGGAGUCAGUACCUGAGGUAUGUUCUAUACACACAUAUAUACACACACACUGAGGGAGUCAGUACCUGAGGUAUGUUCUAUACACACAUAUAUACACACACACUGAGGGAGUCAGUACCUGAGGUAUGUUCUAUACACACAUAUAUACACACACACUGAGGGAGUCAGUACCUGAGGUAUGUUCUAUACACACAUAUAUACACACACACUGAGGGAGUCAGUACCUGAGGUAUGUUCUAUACACACAUAUAUACACACACACUGAGGGAGUCAGUACCUGAGGUAUGUUCUAUACACACAUAUAUACACACACACUGAGGG